UGUUCCAUAGCUCAGUUGGUAGAGCACCUGACUGUUAAUCAGGGUGUCCCAGGUUCGAGACCUGGUGGAACAGCCA
rnacentral:tRNA from 1 species